rnacentral:lncRNA from 1 species
GAAUUUAUUAUUCAAAAUUUAACGGUUAUCUCAGUCAUUUCAUUUAACAAAAGGCUAAAAUACAGAAACUCUUUUAUUAAUAGCCGUUUUUUAUACUUCAUUCUUUACCUUUUAAAAAAAAACUUAUUUUAUUCUUUUAAAAUUCAAAAUUGUAGUAUUUAAUCUUAUACUGUUAUUAUUUUGUCAUCGUUUCGUGCAAAUUUAUUUAUUUAUAACAAAAGAAACCCAAUUACACAAGCUAAAAUAUAAUUAUAGAGACAUCUAAAUGAAUAUCUAUUAAUCAAUAUGAUUUACAAAGUAUAAAUGAUCUAGUCAUAAAAAAUUAUAAUUUU